rnacentral:tRNA from 1 species
GCUUUCAAAGGAAAAUAGUCUUCCACUGGUCUUAGGAGCCACUCCCUCUCGGUGCAAGUCCGAGUGAAAGCA